rnacentral:lncRNA from 1 species
AAUCACACCGAUGUGCGUCACCAGAGGAUCAAUUUCACUCGUGCCUCUACACCCCGGCACAACAACUCUAUCCACUCCCUCCAGACCGAAUUACAGUCCGGACAAGUAGUAGUUAUGGGAUCAGAUGACCUCAUGGUAUCAGUGGCAAGGUGAUGGUGGUGGCCUUAAUGAUCACACCAGGAGGAUAUGUGCGGUAUGUGCUGCUGAACAUGCCGACAUUCUUAUAUCUUAUCUCUUGUCUUUCUGGUCUCAGUUCAUUGAGCAGGACAUUCGGGAGCAGACUCGUAACUCGGUCCGGCGUCAUUCUCAACAGCCUCAUCCUCGGUUUCUCCUGGCCAAAUAAAGCCACAGGGCAACAAAUCAGCCAGGUGCUCUACUGUCAGAAAUGUCACUCACUGCAUUCAGUCAGUUACAAAAUGUUGGCUUAGAGGCCUCUGCUUUAUUUGUGCCAUAGAGAAAUAGAAUCCAGCCAGGAAAGAGGCCCUUGACAUCUCUCAUGCCCACACUGGUGUUGCCAGCGCAGCAGAGAUGUGGGAUCUUCAUGGCACUAAGCAGUUCAGGAGGACCACAGAGUUUUAGUGCGAUCACACAGGUGUUGAUGACUGCACUGUCCCACAAUAAAGGGAGAAAUGACAGCAUUUCCCCAAGAGACCUUCACCCUCAACUUCAGCCAAACAGAUGUCUCAUUGACCAGGAGAGCGUAGAGAUUUUAAAUGAAAGCAGCAGCUGGUUUCAAAGUGCGGAGACAAACUCUGAUGUCCGGGGGAUCGUGAGGAACAAAGAUGUCAUCAAGCCAAUAGAAAUACCUUAA